AUUGAACGCUGGCGGCAGGCCUAACACAUGCAAGUCGAGCGGAGCGGCGGACGGGUGAGUAAUGCCUAGGAAUCUGCCUGGUAGUGGGGGAUAACGUCCGGAAACGGGCGCUAAUACCGCAUACUAUCAGAUGAGCCUAGGUGGGAUUAGCUAGUUGGUGGGGUAAUGGCCUACCAAGGCGACGAUCCGUAACUGGUCUGAGAGGAUGAUCAGUCACACUGGAACUGAGACACGGUCCAGAGUCCUACGGGAGGCAGCAGUGGGGAAUAGUGCACAAUGGGCGAAAGCGGGAUGCAGCCAUGCCGCGUGUAUGAAGAAGGCCUUCGGGUUGUAAAGUACUUUCAGCGGGGAGGCGGUAAACGAAGAAGAAGCACCGGCUAACUCCGUGCCAGCCGCCGCGGUAAUUG
rnacentral:rRNA from 1 species